UUUUGAGGUUUUACAUAGUACCAGGGCAAGAUUCACUUAUUCAGUUGUAAGAAUACAAAUCUCAGAGCUACAUGAUAAUGAUUUUGAGAUAAUCUUAUACCUCUAGUAUUCCGACAGCAAAAAUUGAGAUAAUAUUAUUUUUCUUUUCUCUAGCUGGUGUCAUAGAUGAAGAUUAUAGAGGAAAUGUUGGUGUUGUACUGUUUAAUUUUGGCAAAGAAAAGUUUGAAGUCAAAAAAGGUGACCGAAUUGCACAGCUCAUUUGCGAACGGAUUUUUUAUCCAGAAAUAGAAGAAGUUCAAGCCUUGGAUGACACCGAAAGGGGUUCAGGAGGUUUUGGUUC
rnacentral:sRNA from 1 species